GAUGAACGCUAGCGAUAGGCCUAACACAUGCAAGUCGAGGGGCAUCACAUGAGGCAGCAAUGCCGAUGGUGGCGACCGGCGCACGGGUGAGUAACACGUAUGCAACCUGCCUUCAACAAGGGGAUAACCCGUUGAAAAACGGACUAAUACCCUAUAACACAGGGGUCCCGCAUGGGAAUAUUUGUUAAAGGACAACCGGUUGAAGAUGGGCAUGCGUUCCAUUAGCUAGUUGGCGGGGUAACGGCCCACCAAGGCAACGAUGGAUAGGGGAACUGAGAGGUUUAUCCCCCACACUGGUACUGAGACACGGACCAGACUCCUACGGGAGGCAGCAGUGAGGAAUAUUGGUCAAUGGACGCAAGUCUGAACCAGCCACGUCGCGUGAAGGAAGACGGCCCUACGGGUUGUAAACUUCUUUUAUACGGGAAUAAAGUGCCCCACGCGUGGGGUUUUGCAUGUACCGUAUGAAUAAGGAUCGGCUAACUCCGUGCCAGCAG
rnacentral:rRNA from 1 species